GGCCCCGUAUCUGUCGAACUUCUAAUCCGACGGUCGCAGGUUCGAAUCCUGCCGGGGGCG
rnacentral:tRNA from 1 species